rnacentral:rRNA from 1 species
GAGUUUGAUCCUGGCUCAGGACGAACGCUGGCGGCGUGCCUAAUACAUGCAAGUCGAGCGGGGGCAGUUAGAAGCUUGCUUCUAAUUAACCUAGCGGCGGACGGGUGAGUAACACGUAGGCAACCUGCCC